AUGCCAGAUUCUAAUUGUCCCCUACUCAAGGAGAUCUCAGAAGCAGGGCUGGGAGAGGGGAAAAAAAAAAGAGGAAGAACACAGGCCUACGAUGCAACUAAGGACUUUAAUUGGAGGUGGCUCCUAGUGGUUUUUCCAGGAGCUGAGGUGAUUCUUGCUGGUGGCACAGGGAUGGCUCAGACAUCGCCUCCUCCUCCAGGAGUUUCUGAAUCAGUCUUCAUGGUCCCUGUUUGCCACCCUCUUCCUCCUGGAGACACUCUAGUGACCAUGCAGCCUCACACGCACGCGAGGGGCUGCCAUCUAUACAAAUCAGGGUCUCCCAGGAACACACUUCUUCAACACAAAAUUGUUGAAGUGACGUUGAUGAUGACGUUGGUAUGUCGUUGACAUAUUAUUUCUUUGAGGGUCUGCAUUCAGAUCUGAAAGAGUGAAGGAAAAUAUUUAUCCCGGGUAAAGGCUUUGAGUUACGUGUGAAUAAAUGGUCUUGGUCAUAUCCUCCUUGGGAUAUUUGCAUAUUAUUAGUGAUUUUAAAAAAAUAUUCUGCUUUCUUGAGCUACAGAUAACCUCAAACUGGGUUAAGGAAUUGAGAUCUUAAAAUUUCUUUGCCACUUCAGCACAGCCUGUCUGGCCCUGACUGUGACAUAUACCCAAUUACCAUCUAUUGAGUGCCUGGGUGGGGCCGUAGUCUAGACAUUUAUAUAUGUUGCUUCAUUUCAUCUUCCUAACAGCCUGAAAAGCAGGUGGUGUAUUGUCAUGAUCCUCAUUUUGCAGAGAAGAUGCUGAAGCUGAGAGAGAUUCAGAGACAUGCACAGUAAAUAGCUGAGAGUGAGCUCGGACUGGUGUGUAGGACU
rnacentral:lncRNA from 1 species